rnacentral:rRNA from 1 species
GGGAAUCUUGCACAAUGGAGGAAACUCUGAUGCAGCGACGCCGCGUGAGCGAUGAAGCCCCUCGGGGUGUAAAGCUCUUUCGGCAGGGACGAUAAUGACGGUACCUGAAGAAGAAGCUGCGGCUAACUACGUGCCAGCAGCCGCGGUAAUACGUAGGCAGCGAGCGUUGUUCGGAAUUACUGGGCGUAAAGAGUGUGUAGGCGGUGCUAUAAGUUCGGUGUGAAAUCUCCCGGCUCAACUGGGAGGGUGCGCCGAAAACUGUAGUGCUCGAACGUGGGAGAGGAAAGCGGAAUUCCUGGUGUAGCGGUGAAAUGCGUAGAUAUCAGGAGGAACACCUGCGGUGUAGACGGCUUUCUGGACCAUUGUUGACGCUGAGACACGAAAGCGUGGGUAGCAAAC